rnacentral:sRNA from 1 species
CGGGCACUACCCGGUGCGAGCCUUCGGAAAAUCCCUGAGGCGAUUAAAUAUCCUGGGGGACUGUCCCUGUCCGGACCCUGGUCCGGUGCACAUGGUUCCCACCUGACGUUUGGGCGUCAGAGGAUUUUAGGGCAAACGGCCACGGUGGUCCCGUC